UACAGAGGGUGCAAGCGUUUGUUCGGAAUUAUUGGGCGUAAAGCGCGUGUAGGCGGCAUGGCAAGUCGGGUGUGAAAGCCCUCAGCUUAACUGAGGAAGUGCGCCCGAAACUGCCGUGCUUGAGUGCCGGAGAGGGUGGCGGAAUUCCCCAAGUAGAGGUGAAAUUCGUAGAUAUGGGGAGGAACACCGGUGGCGAAGGCGGCCACCUGGACGGUAACUGACGCUGAGACGCGAAAGCGUGGGGAGCAAACAGG
rnacentral:rRNA from 1 species